CAAGAGCAAAAAAAGAAGACCAUUUCGGGUUUGAGGUGCAAAAAUUCACCACCAAAAAUCUUGCUCCUAAAAUUUUUCUUUUGUGGUUUCCCUACUAAGUUAAGGUUCCUUUGUAACUUGGUAUAGUUGGAUUGGAGUGGGGAGCAUUAGAAUCACCAAAGUGAUCACAUCUCCAAGUGAAGAAGACUUGAAGAAAAGUUUUUCGACGAAACGGGAAGUGAGUUUGGAAAGGCUUAAGGAGCGUGAAAGGUACAGAUGACAGGUUUGCUGAUCCACACGUUUAGGAUCCCGUUUCUGCUAUUUUGGGGCGCUCUCUUCUUCAGAGCCCAUCUUUUGGUACAGUCUGUCACUGUUAUCUGGAUAUGUAUAUUGUUCUGGGUAUGACGGGGCCCUGUCCCGUCUUAUGAUUAUGAUAUGUUCU